AACAGGGCAGCUACUUCCCUAGCUGCCGAAUUCCUCUUCUUCUUCUUCUUCUUCUUCUUCAAACUUUCGAACGGCGGUCACUUCUUUCUCUUCACUGCGGCUUCUGCUAUGUAUUCUCUCCCCGUCGUCGCUAUUGCUAUGUAAUCUCUCUCCACCGGAGCUGCAACCUUUCAGCUCGUUGCCGUCUGUUCUCCUGCUCUCUACUCACCCACUCUCUCUCGCUACCUCUCUACUUUCUCUCCCACCACCGCCGCUGUUCUAUCCACUACCAGAUUUCGCCGCCGCCUGCAAACUCUGCUGCCGGUACCGCAACGAACACCGCUUCCUUUUAGAAACUUAGAUUGGACAAAAAUGUGAAGUCACUUGGUUGUGUCUUCCCAGUCUCAUCUACAUUUGUAGAAGCAAAUUUGUUCGUGUUUGUUAUUAAUGGCCAGAUGGGAUGCAAUUCUGUCGCUUCCCGUCCAAAAUCCUCCCACAUUGGAGAUCUCUUCUGCUGACCUAGUAUGGUCGAAAGUGGAAGGUUGGCAUGAUAAACUAGAUAGAGUUGCUCUAAUUCCAUUUGCCAGAGUUGAUGAUUUUGUGAGAGGUGAAUCAAAUAAUAAAGAAUGUCCAACAAGAUUUCAUGUUGAAGCAAGGCGUCGACGUCGUCCAUCAAUGCCUCUCAAGCCGAAGGUUGAUGGUAUACUAGAGUAUAUACUGUAUUGGUGUUCCUUUGGUCCCGAUGACCACAGAAAAGGUGGCGUUGUACGGCCAAGUCGGACUACAUAUGUUCCAAAGAAGAAAAAUGCUGGUCGGCCAAAUACUAAGAGAGGUUGCACCUGUCACUUUAUUGUGAAACGCCUCAUAGCCGAACCUUCAGUUGCCUUGAUCAUAUAUAAUGAUGAUAAACAUGUGGAUAAAAAGGGUUUGCCAUGCCAUGGUCCACAGGACAAAAAGGCUGCUGGAACACGUGCAAUGUAUGCUCCAUAUAUCUCGGAAGAUCUUCGACUUCGUGUUUUAUCUCUCCUAUAUGUUGGGGUCUCUGUGGAGACUAUUAUGCAGAGGCACAAUGAAUCGGUUGAGAGACAGGGAGGUCCUAGUAACCGUGAUGACCUUUUGACCCACCGAUAUGUUCGACGACAAGAGAGGGCGAUCCGUCGAUCUACAUAUGAACUAGAUGAUGAUGAUGCUGUUAGCAUCAAGAUGUGGGUUGAAAGCCACCAAAGUCACGUUUUCUUCUAUGAAGAUUUUUCUGAUUCAGAUCCAUUUACUCUGGGGAUUCAAACUGAGUGGCAAUUGCAGCAAAUGAUUAGAUUUGGGAAUCGAGCUUUGCUUGCAUCAGAUUCAAGAUUUGGUACAAACAAAUUAAAGUACCCCAUUCACAGUCUUCUUGUGUUUAACUGUGACAAGAAGGCCAUUCCAGUGGCUUGGAUAAUAGCUCCAAGGUUUUCGAGCUUAGAUGCACAUCGAUGGAUGAGGGCUCUUUACAAUCGAGUUCAAACAAAAGAUCCUAACUGGAGAUUGGCGGGCUUUAUAGUAGAUGAUCCGCUUUAUGAUAUCCUGGCAAUCAGAGAUGUUUUUCAGUGCUCAGUAUUGAUAAGUUUCUGGAGGGUUCGUCAUCUAUGGCAUAAAAACAUAGUGAGGAGUUUGCAGAUUGACAUGCAAAUAAAGAUAUCCAAACAACUUGAGCUGAUUGUGGAUAAUAUUUGCCGCCUUCAAGGGACCAUGUCACUCUUUGAAGAUUUCAUUGAAGACUUUAUUGAUGAAUCCAAUUUUAUGGACUAUUUUAAGGCUACUUGGUAUCCUAGAAUGGGAGCUUGGAUCAAUGCACUUAAAACUUUGCCUCUUGCUAGCCAGGAAACUUGUGCAGCAGUGGAAUUUUAUCACAACCAACUGAAGAUCAGACUGUUCAAUGAGAAGGACAACAGUGUUUUUCAGCGAGCUGAUUGGUUGGUUGACAAGUUGGGUACGAAAGUCCAUUCUUAUUUCUGGCUUGAUGAGUACUCUGGAAAAGAUGAUUUUGCUCGCUAUUGGAAAAAUGAAUGGAUAAGUGGUUUGACAUCAUGGCGCAAGGCGCUGAAAAUUCCAGAUACUGAUGUCCUAUUGGAAGAUGGGUGUGCCAAGGUUACUGAUCAGGAUAAUCCAGAAAAAACUUAUGUUGUUCACAAUCCCAGUUCAAUGUUUAGCAUAUGUAAUUGUAGUUGGGCGCAAGGUGGGAACCUCUGCGAGCAUGUCCUGAAAGUUAUUAGCAUCUAUCAAAAGAGAAGGUCCCUUCCGCCUUCUGUUGGCUUUUUUCAGUAUCAGCAGGCUCUAAAGAACAUGCUGCAUUGCCCACCCUAUGACUCUUUAAUUCGCGAUCAUGCAGUCUCCUUGGCAGUUUCUGUUCAGCAACAGUUAAAUACCCUGCUUGAUAAAGAGAGCGUUGCAACUGUUAUGGAUCCUAAUGAGAAAAGAGUUGUUGUUGAUAUCUGCUUAGAGACAUCAAAAGUUGUCUCAUGUAAUCAAGAUCCGAAGUUAGAUAAUAAACAGUUUAUAAUCAGUGAUGAUAUAUCUCUUGAUGGUGAUGACUCUGAUGAUGGACUCAAAAUUGCUGAUCAAGUUGUAGAUUGUCACAGCAAUGAAAAUGGCAUCCCAUCUGAGAGGGUUAGAGAAGACAGUCUACCUGCUGACAUGGACGUUGAUCUAUCAUCAAUUUAUAUUUCCCCUCCUAGAUUGUUGUCUACCGAUGAGAAUUUUUCAAGUAAUGAGUUCCCAGAUAAAGCUUUCGCUACUGAAGUGAAUGAGGUUUUAGCUUCUGAGGAUGGUGCUUUGUGCGAUGAUAAGGAUAAAGAACGCAAUUUAGAUAAAGACUGUAAAGAAUAUGCAAUGGAUGUGGAUUCCCCAGUCUUAGAUGUCUCAUUGGAAACAGCAACUCCGAAACACUGCGAAACCCAUCAGAAUGGGUUCAAUGAUGUUCCUGGAGUAAUUUCUUGCAGAAAAGAAGCUGAGCUAUAACAUCCCUUGCUUUGAUAUAUCCAUGGAUAUUGACCUACAGGUUGCUGUCGAGAAAUGAACUCUUGGUACAAUUGAACCAAAAGUACAAUCAAAGAGGAUGCAAAAUUGGGUUCAAAUACGAUGAAAAGAACAUGAAUUAAAAUUCAUCUAUUCUUGACGGCUAUUAAUGGUAUAUAUUUGAGGUUAUCAGCCAGCCUGAAGUGUCAAUAGCAAUUAGUUAUAUUCACUAAACUGUAUCAGGAUUCAGGACGAAUUGCUGAUGUGAUCGUAUCGAGUGGUAGAUAAUAGUUACAACAGUUGCUAUUAACUGAUGGUGAUUCGUAAAUUGGGGAUUUCUUCGGAUUCUCUCCUUCCGAACAACUACUAGAGGGAUGAAAAAGAAAAAUCUCCGGAUUGCUUCUUUUGUUCCCUUAAUUGUAUGGAAGCAAAGAAUUUAUAACCUUACUAAUGUUGAGCACAUUGCAUGGUUUAAAUUGUAAACACGGUGGCAGUUGUGGUUGUGGUUGUGGUGGUGGUUGCACUACGGUGAAGGAAUUGUGGGGAAAAUGUGUAACAGCCACAAUUGGCUCUAUGAUGCCCAUAUGGUGGACACUGCAGAAACAUUGUAAUAACUACUAUAGUUUAUUAGCCUGUUAUUUCUUAGGGUUUUUAUUAGAUCGGAGUAUGUUAGAUAUUAAACAUUCUUUCUCUUAUAAUCCUGAUAUAGUUGGUUACUUAGCAUACUAGUGGAUGUCUCGCACAUGGUGAAAACUCAAGGGCAGAUAACUUCAUGUGAAGUUGAUAGUUGAAAGCUGGUAGAUGAUAAUUUAGUCAAACCUGACAAAUUAAUUAACGGUUCUUAACUAUUAACUUUACAUGAAGUUAACUGUACCUAAGUUUCUACCAUUAUGCAUAUGUAUAGGUUGAGUGGUUAAUCUUGUUUAUUAUAUUGGUGUUUAAUCUACUUUAUUAUAUUUGAGCUUCACUUGUUACUUAAGAUAAAUAUGUAAAAUCGUCUAGUAUAUAGAUAGAA